UCCGCUAGUAGUGGCGAGCGAACGCGGACCAGGCCAGUCAUCAAUGUGAGACAAUUGGAAUCUGUCAGGAAAGCAGAGCCUUAGAGGGUGAUAGCCCCGUACAAGUAAUGCGAACAUUGAUGCUCGAGUAAGGCGGGACACGUGAAAUCCUGUCUGAACAUGGGGGGACCACCCUCCAAGCCUAAGUACUCCUCAGCGACCGAUAGUGAACCAGUACCGUGAGGGAAAGGUGAAAAGCACCCCGACGAGGGGAGUGAAAUAGACCUGAAACCGAACACCUACAAACAGACGGAGCCCAAGAUUUGUUCUGGGUGACGUCGUACCUUUUGUAUUAUGGGCCAGCGACUUAAUUUAACGAGCAAGCUUAAGCCGAUAGGCGUAGGCGUAGCGAAAGCGAGUCUUAAUAGGGCGUCAAGUUCGUUGUAUUAGACCCGAAACCUAGUGAUCUAGCCAUGAGCAGGUUGAAGGUGAGGUAACACUCACUGGAGGACCGAACGGGUGUCUGUUGAAAAAGACUCCGAUGACUUGUGGUUAGGGGUGAAA
rnacentral:rRNA from 1 species